AAAUUGAAGAGUUUGAUCAUGGCUCAGAUUGAACGCUGGCGGCAGGCCUAACACAUGCAAGUCGAGCGGAAACGAGUUAUCAGAACCUUCGGGGAACGAUAACGGCGUCGAGCGGCGGACGGGUGAGUAAUGCCUAGGAAAUUGCCCUGAUGUGGGGGAUAACCAUUGGAAACGAUGGCUAAUACCGCAUGAUGCCUACGGGCCAAAGAGGGGGACCUUCGGGCCUCUCGCGUCAGGAUAUGCCUAGGUGGGAUUAGCUAGUUGGUGAGGUAAGGGCUCACCAAGGCGACGAUCCCUAGCUGGUCUGAGAGGAUGAUCAGCCACACUGGAACUGAGACACGGUCCAGACUCCUACGGGAGGCAGCAGUGGGGAAUAUUGCACAAUGGGCGCAAGCCUGAUGCAGCCAUGCCGCGUGUGUGAAGAAGGCCUUCGGGUUGUAAAGCACUUUCAGUCGUGAGGAAGGUAGUGUAGUUAAUAGCUGCAUUAUUUGACGUUAGCGACAGAAGAAGCACCGGCUAACUCCGUGCCAGCAGCCGCGGUAAUACGGAGGGUGCGAGCGUUAAUCGGAAUUACUGGGCGUAAAGCGCAUGCAGGUGGUUUGUUAAGUCAGAUGUGAAAGCCCGGGGCUCAACCUCGGAAUUGCAUUUGAAACUGGCAGACUAGAGUACUGUAGAGGGGGGUAGAAUUUCAGGUGUAGCGGUGAAAUGCGUAGAGAUCUGAAGGAAUACCGGUGGCGAAGGCGGCCCCCUGGACAGAUACUGACACUCAGAUGCGAAAGCGUGGGGAGCAAACAGGAUUAGAUACCCUGGUAGUCCACGCCGUAAACGAUGUCUACUUGGAGGUUGUGGCCUUGAGCCGUGGCUUUCGGAGCUAACGCGUUAAGUAGACCGCCUGGGGAGUACGGUCGCAAGAUUAAAACUCAAAUGAAUUGACGGGGGCCCGCACAAGCGGUGGAGC
rnacentral:rRNA from 1 species